rnacentral:rRNA from 1 species
CACGUAGGGUGCGAGCGUUUGUCCGGAAUUAUUGGGCGUAAAGAGCUCGUAGGCGGUGUGUCGCGUCGGCCGUGAAAACCUGCAGCUUAACUGUAGGCUUGCGGUCGAUACGGGCAUCACUGGAGUUCGGCAGGGGAGACUGGAAUUCCUGGUGUAGCGGUGAAAUGCGCAGAUAUCAGGAGGAACACCGGUGGCGAAGGCGGGUCUCUGGGCCGAUACUGACGCUGAGGAGCGAAAGCGUGGGGAGCGAACAGG